rnacentral:rRNA from 1 species
UACGGGAGGCAGCAGUGGGGAAUAUUGCACAAUGGGCGAAAGCCUGAUGCAGCUAUGCCGCGUGUAUGAAGAAGGCCUUAGGGUUGUAAAGUACUUUCAUCGGGGAGGAAAAAACAAAACUAAUAAUUUUAUUUCUUGACGUUACCCGAAAAAGAAGCACCGGCUAACUCCGUGCCAGCAGCCGCGGUAAUACGGAGGGUGCUAGCGUUAAUCAGAAUUACUGGGCGUAAAGAGCACGUAGGUGGUUUUUUUAAGUCAGAUGUGAAAUCCCUGGGCUUAACCUGGAACUGCAUUUUGAAACUGAAAUACUAGAGUAUCGUAGAGGGAGGUAGAAUUCUAGGUGUAGCGGUGAAAUGCGUAGAUAUCUGGAGGAAUACCUGUGGCGAAAGCGGCCUCCUAAACGAAUACUGACACUGAGGUGCGAAAGCGUGGGGAGCGAAACAGGGAUUAGGAU